ACAUGCUUGCAACAUAGUGUUAAUGCAGAAGAUCCCUUUAGAACUCUGUAGUUAAGCGUGCUUAGGAUAAAGUAGUAUUGGGAUGGGUGACCUCCUGGGAAGUUAUAGUAUUUUACAUGCC
rnacentral:rRNA from 1 species